UACGUAGGGUGCGAGCGUUGUCCGGAAUUAUUGGGCGUAAAGAGCUCGUAGGCGGUCUGUCGCGUCGGCUGUGAAAUCCCGAGGCUCAACCUCGGGUCUGCAGUCGAUACGGGCAAACUAGAGUAUUGCAGGGGGAGACUGGAAUUCCUGGUGUAGCGGUGAAAAUGCGCAGAUAUCAGGAGGAACACCGGUGGCGAAGGCGGGUCUCUGGGCAAUAACUGACGCUGAGGAGCGAAAGCGUGGGGAGCGAACAGG
rnacentral:rRNA from 1 species